CUCCUUUCAACGCACACUUUAGAAAGAAAAAGAGAUGAACAGUUAUACUGAAAGUAUGGAGUCUAAAAGGAGGAGGCGAAUCGAACGCAAAAAUUAUGGGCCCAGUUUUUGAGAUCUAAAUGAAGUUCGAAAAUCGCCGUUAGGGGCGCUUGUGAUGAUUGGGAUACUAGAAAUACACAGCUUCUUAUGGCAAGAAUAACUAUUUUGUUAUAAAUUAUAGAGCCAAGUUAAUAUUUGGGCAUAUUUUUACCAGAGUUAGCUUUUAGAAACGUGGUUUUUCUAAUUGAGCAAUGUGCGUGGCUAAAAUUGUGAAUACAAAACCUUAAAUUUGAGUUUGAAAAUGCAUACACGACCGAAGAAACAUAUAAGCUGCUAAAAUAAAUCUUCCCUAGAACUGUUGUACAAAAAAGAUAGAAGUUCCAGCAACAAAUUUAUCACCAGUUCAACCUUUGAUUUGAUGUAAACAGUAAUUGUUUCUUGAUGAGAAAUGCGAAUGAAAUAGUUUAUGGUGUGAUUGUGUUAGUGUUUUAUUAAUAGUUUUGUUGAUGCAGUUUAAAGGUUCAUAGUUUUUCAUUAAAACAUUUGAAAUUGACAUGUUUACAUGCAGUUUAGUGUGAUACCAUUUUAAUAAACAUUAAAAUCUUUCGAACUAGUAGUGGUUUUAUGGCGAUUGACAGAUUGAAUAACGAAAAUUAAGAGUAUUUUAUCAGGAAUAACUUAAUCAUAAAUGGAAACUGAAGACGAACGUUACCAUUGCACCCUUUGAUCGGUGUUAUCUAUUCCAUAACUUUUUAUAGCUGAAACUAGAGAGUAGGUAUAUUGAGCUGAAACGUUUCCUGUGUUCAAUAGCGUUUUUUCUAGCGUUGAAUUGUAAGUUUUAAUGUCAUUAGCAAAGUUUUGCAAAUUGUCACUGUUUCGUAGACAAUUAAAUUCAAGAUAUAUUAUAUUCAAUGUCACCUAAUAAUUGUAAAGGUUUUUCUAUUGAUAUUCACUUUAUUAAUAUAAGGUAGGUUUGUAAAUAAAAUAUUAAUGAAUAAAUAAUGUACUCAGUUUAUUUCAAAAGCACAAAAAUACAGAGUUGUGAAUAUGUAUAUACGCUGACUUAUUUCAUCAUAUAAAUAUUUAUUUAGCAAUAUUAAUACAUUACAACUUUUGUUUCUAUUAACUAAUUCCACUAAAUUUAAUAAAUAAAAUAUACAAUAUAUAAAUUUAAUAUACAAUUUAGCACUUAGAUAUUAAAUAUCUAUAUGUACUAUGCCAAAAAAUAAAACAGGAACAUCAUAUUAUAUCAAGAACACAAAAAAUUACAAUUUAAAAAAAAUGCAUUCUAAAAAAAUACCUAGCUACAAUAUACCUACAUAUUAAUUUAAAGAGCUUAUUCAUAUUCAUAAAAACUAUUCUAAAUGGUUUAUAUACACAAUCAAAAGUAUCAACCACAAUACAAUAAUUUUCAAAUUAUUUCUUAUUAUUCCUCAA